rnacentral:rRNA from 1 species
AGUGAACGCUGGCGGCAGGCCUAAUACAUGCAAGUCGAACGGCAGCACAGCAGAGCUUGCUCUGUGGGUGGCGAGUGGCGGACGGGUGAGGAAUACAUGGGAAUCUGCCCAGUCGUGGGGGAUAGCGUAGGGAAACUUACGCUAAUACCGCAUGCGCCCUUCGGGGGAAAGCCGGGGACCUUCGGGCCUGGCGCGAUUGGAUGAGCCCAUGUCGGAUUAGCUAGUUGGCGGGGUAAAGGCCCACCAAGGCGACGAUCCGUAGCUGGUCUGAGAGGAUGAUCAGCCACACUGGAACUGAGACACGGUCCAGACUCCUACGGGAGGCAGCAGUAGGGAAUAUUGGACAAUGGGCGCAAGCCUGAUCCAGCCAUGCCGCGUGAGUGAAGAAGGCCCUCGGGUUGUAAAGCUCUUUUGUCCGGAAAGAAAAGCGCCGGGUUAAUACCCUGGUGUCCUGACGGUACCGGAAGAAUAAGCACCGGCUAACUUCGUGCCAGCCGCCGCAGUAA